GAAUUUUGGACAAUGGGGGGAACCCUGAUCCAGCCAUCCCGCGUGUGUGAUUAAGGCCUUCGGGUUGUAAAGUACUUUUGGCAGAGAAGAAAAGGUAUCUCCUAAUAAGAGAUACUGCUGACGGUAUCUGCAGAAUAAGCACCGGCUAACUACGUGCCAGCAGCCGCGAUAAUACGUAGGGUGCAAGCUGUAAUCGGCAGUACUGGGCGUAAAGCAUGUGUAGGCGGUUCGAAAAGAAAGAUGUGAAAUCCCAGGGCUCAACCUUGGAACUGCAUUUUUAACUGCCGAGCUAGAGUAUGUCAGAGGGGGGUAGAAUUCCACGUGUAGCAGUGAAAUGCGUAGAUAUGUGGAGGAAUACCGAUGGCGAAGGCAGCCCCCUGGGAUAAUACUGACGCUCAGACACGAAAGCGUGGGGAGCAAACA
rnacentral:rRNA from 1 species